GAUGAAGAACGUAGCGAAGUGCGAUAAGUAAUGUGAAUUGCAGAAUUCAGUGAAUCAUCGAAUCUUUGAACGCACCUUGCGCCCUUUGGCUAUUCCGAAGGGCAUGCCUGUUUGAGUAUCGUGAACACCUCAACUCUCAUGGUUUGCCAUGAUGAGCUUGGACUUUGGGGGUUUUGCUGGCCUUUGGUCGGCUCCUCUCAAACGGAUCAGCUUUCCAGUGUUUGGUGGCGUCACGGGUGUGAUAACUAUCUACGCCUGUGGUUUUCUGCCAGAUAACCUUCAGCGAUGGAGGUUCGCUGGGGCUCAUAAAUGUCUCUCUUCAGUGGAGACAGCUUUUUGGACGUUUGAUCUCAAAUCAGGUAGGACUACCCGCUGAACUUAAGCAUAUCAAUAAGCGGAGGA
rnacentral:misc_RNA from 1 species